rnacentral:rRNA from 1 species
UACGUAGGGUGCAAGCGUUAAUCGGAAUUAUUGGGCGUAAAGCGUGCGCAGGCGGUUUUGUAAGACUGUCGUGAAAUCCCCGGGCUUAACCUGGGAAUGGCGAUGGUGACUGCAAGGCUAGAGUUUGGCAGAGGGGGGUAGAAUUCCACGUGUAGCAGUGAAAUGCGUAGAUAUGUGGAGGAACACCGAUGGCGAAGGCAGCCCCCUGGGUCAAAACUGACGCUCAUGCACGAAAGCGUGGGGAGCAAACAGG